rnacentral:rRNA from 1 species
UUCGGGAGGACGCUCACCACUUUGUGGUUCAUGACUGGGGUGAAGUCGUAACAAGGUAGCGCUAGGGGAACCUGGCGCUGGAUCACCUCCUUAUACGAUGAU